rnacentral:rRNA from 1 species
CGUGUAGGCGGUUUGGCAAAUCGAGUGUGAAAUCCCACGGCUCAACCGUGGAACUGCGCUCGAAACUGCCUUACUUGAGUGCGGGAGAGGUGUGCGGAAUUCCUGGUGUAGCGGUGGAAUGCGUAGAUAUCAGGAAGAACACCGGUGGCGAAGGCGGCACACUGGCCCAGCACUGACGCUGAGGCGCGAAAGCGUGGGGAGCGAACG